GGCAAGGUAAGUCGGCGAAUUGGCUCCGUAACUUUGGGAGAAGGAUUGGCUCUGGGGGCCGAGUCAGACAGGCCGAGAUCAGAUACGUGUCGGUCCAGUUGGGCGCUGGUUUCNNNNNNNNNNUUGUACUUCGGUGCGCGUUGUGGUAAGGUUACUGGACUCUGACCCGGGUCGAUCGUGAGCGGUGUCGUGCAGCUAGCAACGCACGAGGACAUGUUCCACGUUGCGUCAAGCUGCUGUACAUCCAUAGUCUGGCACGCUACGGCUAACUCAGAACUGGCACGGACCAGGGGAAUCCGACUGUCUAACUAAAACAAAGCAUUGCGAUGUUCACUGAUUGAUUUUGACGCAAUGUGAUUUCUGCACAGUGCUCUGAGUGUCAAAGUGAAGAAAUUCAAUCAAGCGCGGGUAAACGGCAGGAGUAACUAUAACUCAGUAGUCAUUCACAAGUGAGACUGAAAGUCCUGGCAUCUAUUAUCGAAUACGGGAAUAUAAAGGAGAAAACAGCCCCUCAACGCUUCC
rfam:Schistosoma rodhaini strain Burundi genome assembly, scaffold: SROB_scaffold0012602